GCCACGGUGGUCUAGCGGUUAGAACGCUGGCCUUGUAAUCCUGGGGUCUCGGGUUCGAUUCCCCGAGGUG
rnacentral:tRNA from 1 species